UGGCCCUUACGUCCGGGGCUACACACGUGUUACAAUGGGGGGUACAGAAGGCAGCUAGCGGGUGACCGUAUGCUAAUCCCAAAAGCCUCUCUCAGUUCGGAUCGAAGUCUGCAACCCGACUUCGUGAAGCUGGAUUCGCUAGUAAUCGCGCAUCAGCCACGGCGCGGUGAAUACGUUCCCGGGCCUUGUACACACCGCCCGUCAAGCCAUGGGAGCCGGGGGUACCUGAAGUACGUAACCGCAAGGAUCGUCCUAGGGUAAAACUGGUGACUGGGGCUAAGUCGUAACAAGGUAGCCGUACC
rnacentral:rRNA from 1 species